UACGUAGGGCGCAAGCGUUGUCCGGAAUUAUUGGGCGUAAAGAGCUCGUAGGCGGCUUGUCACGUCGGGUGUGAAAGCCCGGGGCUUAACCCCGGGUCUGCAUUCGAUACGGGCUAGCUAGAGUGUGGUAGGGGAGAUCGGAAUUCCUGGUGUAGCGGUGAAAUGCGCAGAUAUCAGGAGGAACACCGGUGGCGAAGGCGGGAUCCUGGACCGGUAUUGACGCUGAGGCGCGAAAGCCAGGGGAGCAAACGGG
rnacentral:rRNA from 1 species